CUUCUGGAACGCGGGGCGCUUGGCGAUCUCCUCCCACCACGCCUUAACAUGGGGGCGGUCGUUGACGAGCCCAGCCUUGGGGGUCUUGGUGAGGUAGAGCAGGUAGGACGCGUGGUUGGCGUCGGCGAGCGUGAACUCGUCGCCGGCGAGGUACUUGUUGCUGGCGAGGUGCGCCUCGUAGACGUCGAGCACCUUGGCGAGCUCGUGCGCGUGCUUGUCCACCACCAAUGGGUCCGGGGCGCCGCCGAAGAGCGGCCUGAAGAGGAGCUGGAACACCAGCGGCGACGCGUUCGGGUAGAAGUGGUGCGACUCCACCUCCAGCCACACCUCGAGCUUCGCCGACGCCGUCGCCGGGAGCAGCGCCGCGCCCGACGACGCGUACUUGGUCGCGAUGUACCGGUUGAUGGCACGGGACUCUGCGGUGAAAUGUGCGCGCGGUCAGGUGAGGUGAAUAGAUCAGCUAGUUCAGCAGCAGGAUUUAGUGACUAGAUUUGACAUGGGCAUCCAUCCAUCAAGUUCAAGGUAAAAUAAGCCAGGUUCUCCAGACGAAAUCCAAGUGGUCAACACUCAACAGGGAUAAUGUUCAAUAUUUAAAAAUGGGGAGGAAAAACAAAAAGAUACUGUUCCUAGAUCUGGAUCUCGUUAUUCGAUUCAUAAUCAUAAUUAACCGGUACCAGGAAUUAUUAUGUCAGUAAAAAACAGAGUGGGUGAAUGGGGAGUUUACCGUAGAGGACUUCGUCUCCGUCGACGAGAGCCGGGAUCUGGCCGAAGGGCUGUUUGGAACAAGAACAAGAAGAAGAAGAAGCAAGAUGAUGAGGCACGCACAUAAAGCAAAACUAGUAGCGGAACGGAAGCAGGAAGGGGGAGGAGAGACGGACGUUGAGGGCGAGGAAGUCGGGCUGCUUGUGGGCGCCGGUGGUGAGGUCGACGGGGAUGAUCUCGAAUUCGAGGCCCUUCUCGUUGAGCACGGUGGCCACGCGCACCACGUUGGGCGACAGCGGCAUCCCGUACAGCUUCAGCGGCGCCAUCCUUUGCUGCUGCUUCCUUCCCCAAGUCGGUCGCCGGUCAGUGAGUCUCUCUCUCUCUCUCUCUCUCACGCGUCCACACUGCGAUUGGAUAGGAGUUGGAGUUGCCUUGCCCGUGCCCUCCCGUUCUUUAUAGCAGUUGAUGAAGAAGAAGACGACGAGUGAGGAGGUGGGCGGGGCCAGCGGCCAGCGAGGCGCGCCAUUCACUCGCCGGGGAAAAUGGAGAUGGGGAUUUUAAUUGCACCACCAUCACCGUAAUAAUAAAAUGGAUGGGGAUUUUUUUUUAACGCGAUGAACGAUUAUGACAUGUACAAGGCGUUACGGGCACUAUGACGGUGUCCAGAGAGAAAAAAAAAAUGGCGGACGUGUGGAGAAGCGACGAGCCGCGUGUGCCCGAGGAAGGAACUGGAUUGCAUCGGGGUCGUUGGGAAGGCG
rnacentral:lncRNA from 1 species